rnacentral:sRNA from 1 species
GAACACCCUACCAGAACCCUACUAAAAC